AGAGUUUGAUCCUGGCUCAGAUUGAACGCUGGCGGCAUGCCUUACACAUGCAAGUCGAACGGCAGCACGGGAGCAAUCCUGGUGGCGAGUGGCGAACGGGUGAGUAAUAUAUCGGAACGUGCCCAGUAGUGGGGGAUAGCCCGGCGAAAGCCGGAUUAAUACCGCAUACGACCUGAGGGUGAAAGCGGGGGAUCGCAAGACCUCGCGCUAUUGGAGCGGCCGAUAUCAGAUUAGCUAGUUGGUGGGGUAAAGGCCUACCAAGGCUACGAUCUGUAGUUGGUCUGAGAGGACGACCAGCCACACUGGGACUGAGACACGGCCCAGACUCCUACGGGAGGCAGCAGUGGGGAAUUUUGGACAAUGGGCGAAAGCCUGAUCCAGCAAUGCCGCGUGCAGGAUGAAGGCCUUCGGGUUGUAAACUGCUUUUGUACGGAACGAAAAGGUUCUUUCUAAUA
rnacentral:rRNA from 1 species